rnacentral:rRNA from 1 species
GCUUAUACUCGACCGUCAGCGGCACGUGCGAUCGCGCCCGCGAGGGCCGGUCACGAAGCCCUGACGAGUAGGAGGGUCGCGGCGGUGAGCGCAGAAGGGCUGGCCGCGAGGCCGUCUGGAGCCGCCGUCGGUGCAGAUCUUGGUGGUAGUAGCAAAUACUCCAGCGAGGCCCUGGAGGACUGACGUGGAGAAGGGUUUCGUGUGAACAGCCGUUGCACACGAGUCAGUCGAUCCUAAGCCCUAGGCGAAAGCCGAUGUCGAUGCGGUGUAGUUUUACUUAAUACUAUUUGAAUGUAUAGAGCAAAAGCAGCAGCACACACCCGUCGGGCGAAAGGGAAUCCGGUUCCUAUUCCGGAACCUGGCAGCGGAACCGUCAAUAAGUCGGGC